UAAGCUGAAACAUUCACCCUCAAAUUAACCUUUGUAUCUUACUGUGAUCUAUCCACCUUCCAUCUUAACCACAGACAUUAUUAGUAUGGAAUACUAUUCCUACACACUUCCCUGCAAACACUUUUGAAUCCACGUGCUACAAAACACAAUCUUCUAAAGCCUGAUCUGGAGGUUUCAGUUUCAGAGGGAGAACUUCCAUCGCCUGAUGGCCAGGAGUGAGAAGAAUUCUUAAUUGUUUCAGCUUUGUUAAUAAUUUUUGUAUGCUGAUUGCUUCAAUGCACCAGUACCAGCCAACACAGGAAGAUCCGAAACGCAGGAAUCGUGAGUUCCACUAGGUACAUCAGGCUACUCAUGACUUUGAACUAUUCAAGGGUGCAGUCAGGUGGCAGCUUUACAGUGCAGUAGCCUUCUCAGGAGCCCCAAGGCAUGGACAGUCUUCAGUGAAAUGGAUUGUUUCCUGCCUGGAAAUCUCAUGCAGCUAUUACAGAGAGGAGACAAGAUGCUCCAGUGAGAUUACGUGCCUAGAAGGAUACUGUGUGGAGUUUACAGAGAUAAAUCAUGCUGUGACUUCGCCUCCCAGGCUGCGACACCAUAUGAGAGGCACAAUCCAGCUGGCUGCUCCAGACUGUCAGCUGAGACACAGUAGCUCACUGUGCAUGUGCUGUUGCCCCAUUGUGAAGCAGAGUAACGUGGGUUCAUGUGAGUCACCAUCAACUGACCUUGUUUGUCGACGCAGUGCAGCAAUGGAUCUCACCCUGUUACCACAUCUGAAAUGAAGGACCCUGACUAACAGCUGGGGGACACGAACCUCUACAGGCCAGCACAGGCUUUCUGCCUGACAAACCCUUAAUUUUCUUUCAUUAACACACUUGGGUUUAGUAGACACAGUUAGAAAUAGCAUUUUAUUGCAUAUAUCACUGUAGCAUUUCAGGUUUCUAAUUGAAGCAACUCAGGCAAUAUUCUAGAUCAUAAUCCAAAAGCAAGCAAGAGCUAGAACUCUUCUGGCUGCUUUGAAAACUAAUGUAUUUGGUUGUAAUACAAAUCUUGCUGAACAAAAUUUCUUUCUAACUCUUUAUCUUCAGUUUGCUUACUAGAUUUGAGUGAUAUUGAUCUGAUAACUGCUUUUCUAAAUCAGAUUUAAUCAUAUUGCUCAUUUGUGUUUUUACAACAACUUCCUCUCAGAUUAUUUUGUAUCAUCUUUCUGUUAUUUUCCCUGGUUUUGCUACCAUUUCUUAAUGAACUGAAUAGUACAGUGCAUGGUGGAGAUUCCUGCCAUGUAAAAUUCAAGAUGCUUUGACAUGGCAGAAAUGAAUACUUUCAAAAACCUAUCAAGUGGUGAAUUACAACAUUUUUUGUGUGUGUUCUGCUACAUACAACACAGGGAUCAUAAUAUAUGCAAAAGAUGUUUCUACAUGAAAGUUUUGGUACAAUAUCUCCCCUGAAAUUAUCUUUAUCCAGUACUCAUCCUUUCUCCACCCUGCCUGCAAAAGCAAACCGACAAUAAGGAAAACUAGCAGUCCUCUCCUGCCUGGGCAAAACAGGCCUGGAAAGGGGGAAAAUCUUUCUUUCCUGAGAAAAACAAAGAGCUCCAGAUAUGAACUAGUGGUUGUCUCACCUGCAUGAAACAAUGGGUGUUUGUGAGCUAUUUAGCUAACUUUGAAAUUGCUUUCAAAAAGGCUCAUAAAAACUGAGGCUAACAUCUUGCUGUAGCCAGCCCUGCAGCUCACAGAUCUCACCAAAAAAAUGUGCUACUUAUGCAUAAUUAAAGGAUCUGCAAACUACCAGUCAAGAUAAAAAGAUCAAGGCUAUCAUAAGCCAUGCUGCCUUAUGGGAUGAGCUCACCAGCAGCAGAAAAAGAUGUGUUUUCUUUCUGUGAGGAUUACUUGCUCUGGCAUGGUAUAGGAGUUUGACAAUCUCCUCUCCAGUAGCUCUACUUGAGGGCACAAUGGAGUCUUUUUUCUAGGACAGCUCCUGUGUCAGAAAAUGCCAUCAAAAUUAUUUGCCUAUCUGGUCUGAUAUUUAGCGAGGACCCACACAGAGCAGAGCUGGUGUGGAAUGUUAUUUAUUUACUUCUUGAGAAAGUGUUUAUGGACCAACACUGAAGUUUUUUCAUGGGAAUAUGUCAACUCAGAUAAAGUUUUUGGCAGGAAACUUUCCUACUGUACAGAACCCAAGCUGGAAAGACCUGGGAAAGUGCAGAGGUCUCAAGCUGAUGGAAACAGAGAAUUCAGUAUCUGUCUUGUCUAUAUGUUUUGCCUCAGAAAGCAGUUGUAAUUAGCAGGCCUGAGCCAUGUCACUUGCGCCUAUAUUGUCUUUUUUUAAGAAGAUGUCAAAAGAAAUUAACUUUUUUUUUCUCCCUUUCCUUCUUAUUUUCUUUCUGUAUGAAUGUUUUGGGAGGAUCAGUGUGGAACCUAGACAAACAGCGAGGGCUGCAAAAUCGUUCUUGCUUUCUUUCUGUUCCUAAUACUAUUUCUUCUUAGGAUCCUGUGUAGCGUCAGGGAAUUUGGAAGCAAAACUUAAUGUUGAUUAAAGUCUUGAGCUCAAGUUCUAUUCCAGCCUCAUCAGUUAUAAACUGUUUUCAUGUCAAUAAAUAAGCUUUCUAACUUGUUUACA
ensembl:lncRNA